CGUGAGUAACCUGCCUUGGAGUGGGGAAUAACAGUUGGAAACAGCUGCUAAUACCGCAUAAUGCAGUUGAGUCGCAUGGCUCUGACUACCAAAGAUUUAUCGCUCUGAGAUGGACUCGCGUCUGAUUAGCUAGUUGGCGGGGCAACGGCCCACCAAGGCGACGAUCAGUAGCCGGACUGAGAGGUUGGCCGGCCACAUUGGGACUGAGACACGGCCCAGACUCCUACGGGAGGCAGCAG
rnacentral:rRNA from 1 species